rnacentral:lncRNA from 1 species
GUUACAUCUCAGCAAACCAGGUGGGGUCACCCACCACACAAAGCCUACGCUCCCUACUUUUCCUCCACCGACCAUCAAUCCUUCCCCGUUGGACCGUGACAUACACACCUCUCCUCUGCGAUUCACGAUUCCACCCACACUCUCUCUCCUCUGAUACUCCAAAAACCGCAUCACUAGAGAAAGAUUGUUCAUUUUCCUGUUUUGUGCCAUUUUUCGCCACCACAACUUCCAACAAAAACACCCCACACUUCACUCGCAUGUUCUCGGAGCUCCGGCUCCAUUAACGGAGCCUCUGCUCUCCUUCAUAUAUCUAUAUAUAUAUAUAUAUAUAUAUAUAUACACACAAAUUAUUCUGGGUCGUCUUUUCUUUUCUUCAGAUCUCGAAAGGAACUGUUAGUGCGAUAAUGUCGAAACCAUGGGCAAAGAUUGGGGCUUGGGCCGAGGAAGCUGAGUUAGCCGAAGCCGAGGAGAAAGAGCAAGCGGAC